UCUCCUACUUGUCAGGGCUUCGUGGCGGCACAUAGGCGUACAACAGCAAAGCGUACGGUCGUUCUACUUGCCGCUGACAGCAGAGUAUAGGCUCUACGCUUCAGCGACGUAUUCAGGACUAGUUGCUUCGGCAGGCAUAUGGGGAAACGCCAUGGCAACUGAAAUUCCCAUUACUCCCGGGAAAGAUCGAUAGCGGGGCUCUAGGUAGACUCGCGCCCAGACCCUUCUGCGCACACCGCCGCGACUCUCCUACUUGUCAGGGCUUCAUGGCGGCACGUAGACGUACAACGGCAAUACGCACGGCUGUUCCAGUACUUCCAGUCGCCGCUGGCAGCAGAAUAUAGGCUCUACGCUUCAGCGCCAUUUUCAGGACUAUAUAGUUGCUUCGGCAGUGGCGAUAAGUUCAUCACUAUCGGCGACAGAAAGAAGGUCGCCAGAAGAUGUGACAAUGGGAUACAUCAUCGAAUACCUCCUGAAAAAGCAACUCACUGUGGUGGAGCAGCAUGAGUCCACUCGCACUUGGAGUGAUAAAGUUUCCGAACAAAGAUACCCUUCACAAACAGGUAAUU